AACCUAGCACACCUGCGGUGUGUACCUGCGGAGGGAUCAUUACCGAGUACCGGGUCUUCUGGCCCCUACUCCCACCCUCUGUGUACCUACCUUAUUUUCGUUGCCUCGGCGGGGUAGAUCCUGACGGCCCACCGGCCGGAGGGGGACCCGCCGGGGGGACACCCCCAAACUCUUGUCAACAGUGACGUCUGAGAACAAAACAAACUAGUCAAAACUUUCAACAACGGAUCUCAGAUCGGA
rnacentral:misc_RNA from 1 species